GAAGCCAUUGUACGUAAAAGAAACUGGAGAGGGGCCGUACACUUACUAUGGCACAUUCAAAACGUUUUGCAGUAUAUUGAAGAGCGCCGUUAUCGUGCAUCAUCAGGGUAUGAACGACCCAACAAAUGCUAUAGGAGGGACGGCAUGGAUGUUUGGUCUAACGGGUUAUGACUCCGUUGAGCUGGAUUUCUUCACCAUGCUGUGGGUGUUUCAACGUUGCCCGAAAAGCAAUUGCCCGGCACACUGCACUACGCAAUGUCCAGCAAAAUGAGCUGAAUGAAGACGCCUGGAUGAAUUUUCAACUAUCAAAU